CCUACGGGUGGCUGCAGUCGAGGAUCUUCGGCAAUGGACGCAAGUCCGACCGAGCGACGCCGCGUGGGCGACGAAGGCCUUCGGGUUGUAAAGCCCUGUCGCGGGGGAGCAAGCCCUCACGGGCGGAGCGAUCCCGGGAGGAAGCUCGGGCUAAGUUCGUGCCAGCAGCCGCGGUAAGACGAACCGAGCGAACGUUGUUCGGAAUCAUUGGGCUUAAAGGGCGCGUAGGCGGCCGGCCGCGUCCGGGGUGAAAUCCCUCGGCUCAACCGAGGAAC
rnacentral:rRNA from 1 species